rnacentral:rRNA from 1 species
CCUACGGGUGGCAGCAGUGAGGAAUAUUGGUCAAUGGGCGAGAGCCUGAACCAGCCAAGUCGCGUGAGGGAGUACUGCCCUAUGGGUUGUAAACCUCUUUUGUCGGGGAGCAAAAGCCGGACGUGUCCGGCUGUGAGAGUACCCGAAGAAAAAGCAUCGGCUAACUCCGUGCCAGCAGCCGCGGUAAUACGGAGGAUGCGAGCGUUAUCCGGAUUUAUUGGGUUUAAAGGGUGCGCAGGCGGAUUUUUAAGUCAGCGGUAAAAUCGUGGGGCUCAACCCCAUCCAGCCGUUGAAACUGGGGAUCUAGAGUGUGCGAGAGGUAUGCGGAAUGCGAGGUGUAGCGGUGAAAUGCAUAGAUAUCACGCAGAACCCCGAUUGCGAAGGCAGCAUACCGGUGCUCAACUGACGCUCAGGCACGAAAGCGUGGGUAUCGAACAGGAUUAGAUACCCUAGUAGUC